rnacentral:rRNA from 1 species
UACGUAGGAGACGAGCGUUGUCCGGAGUUACUGGGCGUAAAGGGUGCGCAGGUGGCGGCGCGCGUGGGGGGUGAAAUCGCCCGGCUUAACUGGGCGGGGGCCUUCCAGACGGCGUGGCUUGAGCAGCGGAGGGGGACGUGGAAUUCCGGGUGGAGCGGUGAAAUGCGUAGAGAUCCGGAGGAACACCGACGGCGCAGGCAGUGUCCUGGGGAGUACCUGACGCGUCAGGUG